CAUUAGUUACUAUAUAUUAGAGUACAGCAAAUAAAUAUAUAGGUAUAUUACAGUGUUGUUAGAUACGGGUACGUAUAUUAGUUUCUGUCUUUGUGUUUUGUGAUUUUGUACGAGUAGAACCAAUUUAAACAUUAACUUUCGUUUAAUAGACAAAAAGAACUGGAAACAAUAUUUUAUUUACAUUUAGUUUCUAGGAGUAUAAUCAUACUUUGGAAGUGUGUCUAACGUGUAAUAAGAAUUUGAUCACUAAGAAUAUGACUUAAAACUGUAAUUACUGAUAACUAUAUUUUAUUGUCUUCUGCAUUAUAAACACGACUAAAGUUUUUUAUCUAGUACGAAAAAUAAUAUUUUUGUGAUAAUAUAUUAUGAGUUAGGUUUUCAUUCCUUUUAGUUCAUUACCUGACCGCUUCCCAAGUCUUAACGGUUUCAUAAAAAAAGCCAUAAAAUUAUCACCACCUCAUAAACUGUUUAGAGGAACACUCUACGUGCUCGUAAAUUUGCAAUUUAAAUGGAUUUUUCUAGUUAA